rnacentral:rRNA from 1 species
UGCAAGUCUGGUGCCAGCAGCCGCGGUAAUUCCAGCUCCAAUAGCGUAUAUUAAAGUUGUUGCAGUUAAAAAGCUCGUAGUUGAACCUUGGGCCUGGCUGGCCGGUCCGCCUCACCGCGAGUACUGGUCCGGCUGGGCCUUUCCUUCUGGGGAACCUCAUGGCCUUCACUGGCUGUGGGGGGAACCAGGACUUUUACUGUGAAAAAAUUAGAGUGUUCAAAGCAGGCCUUUGCUCGAAUACAUUAGCAUGGAAUAAUAGAAUAGGACGUGCGGUUCUAUUUUGUUGGUUUCUAGGACCGCCGUAAUGAUUAAUAGGGAUAGUCGGGGGCGUCAGUAUUCAGCUGUCAGAGGUGAAAUUCUUGGAUUUGCUGAAGACUAACUACUGCGAAAGCAUUCGCCAAGGAUGUUUUCAUUAAUCAGGGAACGAAAGUUAGGGGAUCGAAGACGAUCAGAUACCGUCGUAGUCUUAACCAUAAACUAUGCCGACUAGGGAUCGGACGGGAUUCUAUGAUGACCCGUUCGGCACCUUACGAGAAAUCAAAGUUUUUGGGUUCUGGGGGGAGUAUGGUCGCAAGGCUGAAACUUAAAGGAAUUGACGGAAG